rnacentral:tRNA from 1 species
UCCUGGUGGCUUAGAUGGUAAAGCAUCUGCCUGCAGUCCAGGAGACCCAGGCUCAAUCCCUGGGUUAGGAA